ensembl:lincRNA
AGCUGCGGGUUCUUCUCCUUCUCCCCAGGUAUUUCCCCAAGAAGACGCUGCACAGUUACACAGCACACUUUUAUUAGAUGAGCCGCAGUGACUAACAGGACUGGGAAACAGCAGGGGCGUCCUGAGGAAGCGGUGAGGGACAGAAAGCCACUCUUCUGCCAUCUGCAGCCACCUGGUGCCUGCGGUCAGCCGGGCCGCAGUGAGCAUUGGGGAAGGUCCCGGCCCCAAGGCAGGAGACCAAGCUGAGGAGACCCUCCUGCCUCUGCUCCGGAAAGGGCUCCAUCCCAGGCGGCCAAAGUGUCCUGUAACAUCCAGCUGGGGGCUCCCUGUCCCUGCUGCCCUUGCCUUGUCCUCAUUUCCAGGGGCGGCCCCAGGACAGGACGGGCACCUUGCUCCAGUCAUGGGGGCUCCCAGCAGCGCUGUCCUGAGCUGUGGCGAUGGGGACAUCACGCCUCAGCCCCGUCACUGCCGUCCCGGAGGCAGCAGGGAGCCCAGCCCGCACCUCCCAGCCCACCGCAAGCCGGUGACAGUGACCCCAGGGGCAGGAGUGGGGGAGGGGAGCACUUGCCAACUCGGCGCUGCAGGGGGCUCUUGCGGCCUCCCCCUCCCAACACGGAAGCUGAGGAGGAGCAGGGGCCCAACUGGGGGGACUUCCUACAGACCACGGACCAGCCCUCGGGCCACCACCCAGUGGGGUGCGCUCACUGUACCCCUCUACCCCUAGACCCCUUGUCUACCCGCCGUGGAAGGGGCUCAUCCGAGCGCAUUCCUGCCUGGCCGGUCUCCUUCCUUCUGGCCUUCGCACACACUCCCACGGCCCCGCCCCACAAGGGCUCCGGCACCCAGGCCCCCUGCCCAGGAGAUGUGGGCGAGGGCGGGGGGAGGGCUGGCGGAGGAGCCAGGGGACAGCUGAUGGGGUGGGGACAGCGGGCAGAAGGGCACUCCUCGUGGCCGGCAGGCGCCCAGGGCCAGAGACAGGAACUGUGUAUUCCGGGAUCUCCUGCGGUCCAAACAGAACUAGGAGAUCAGUGUCAGCAACCGCUGAACCAGAAAGACAACAGGAGCGCGGCCACGGGCAGGUGCGGCCCCAGAAACGGGGCUUCUCCCCCCGCGUUCCCGGGCCAUGGAGCCGCCCUUUCACUGGGAGAGAGAGGCCACCCUGGCCCGGCCUCCUGGAAACGGGGGCAAACUCGGGGGGCUCGAUUGCUCCACCCGGAAGAGCCUCACCCCAGGCGCCACAGAGAGGGCGCGGGGACCUGGCUGUGCCCCACCCUGCUUCCAGACGGGCAGAAGACAGAAGGGCAGAUGCAGCCACCCUCACCCAAGAAGCGGGCCGGCGUCCCUGUCCCCAGCUGCGGGAAGGGGCGGAGAUUCCAGCGAGAGGGUCCCCAAGCUGUGCCCGGGGAACCGAUGUCACUGGAAACAGAUUUUCUUGGAACUUCGACCCAAGGGUGCUGUCGCUAGCGAUGGAGAUGGUUUUGGCGAGCCGUAAGAAAGAAACAGGGGACACCGUGAGCUGCUGUUGACACAGCAGGGGGAGCCCCUCGGGUCAGAGCAACCCCCAAGUCUUGCCUUUAAAAAUGUUGUGAAGGGGCCCGACUUCGCUUAGAUUAGACCUCGAAGGGAAAUAGGUUCCAGACGGAACAGUCAGAUGACAGUUUGGGGGUGUCCAUGCUUUAUAUCUGGAUGCCCCCCAAGCCUCCUGCUCGAUGGUGGGGCUUUGGGGAGGUGACUGGGGCACGGCUGAGGUACUCACCAGGGCGGAUUCGUCCUGAGGGUGGGAGGUGGAGGAGGUGGAGCACGGACAUGGCCUGGGCGCUGGCCUCCCUCCUCCUCCCUUGAUCUCUCCGCUGCCUGCUGCCCUGCCAGGGGCUGUCCCUCCUCCAUCACGGCCACACCUUGGAGCCAGCCGACUAGGGGCUGAAACUGCUACAGACCGUGAGCCGCAGUAGACCGCUCUCCCUCGGAGCUGUAGGGUUCAGACAGUCUCAGUGAGGAGACAGUGACGAAGACAGACGAUACCGCACUUCCCUCGGGGCUGACACCGGCAGAUACGCAGCCUAGCAAAUCAGAGAGCCACCCACCGCCCUCCCCACAGGGGGACUUCUGGUGCCCGGGCCACCCUCAGGAGGGGCAUCAGAGGUUUCAGGGAAGUAGCUCGGCCCAGUCACUCAACAAAUCAACACACAGCCAACCACAGAAAUGAACCACAGAGGGAAGAAAGAAGCAGCUCAGGGCUCCUCCAAGACGGUCCCCAGAGUCCAGCCUGCGGGCAAGAUUGUAAGGCAGGAGAGUAACGGAAGCCCUGCCCCAGAAGAGGGUGCAAGGCAGACCCUGCCCACUAGAGGGCGCAGGCUGGACGCACACAGGCUGCAGGACCUGUCCACCUGCUCGCAGGACAGGAAGACACAACAGCCCUCGCUCGUCCAAAUGAGGUAGAGAGAGAGAGAAAGAGAGAGAGAGAGAGAGAAAGACAAAGAAUAUUUUUUUAAAGAGCCGAAUGGAAAUUCUGGAGAUAAAAGUACACAAUCAAUAUGAAAAUACAGCAAAGGCAUGCAAAACCAGAUGUGAGCUGACAGAAGAAAGAAUCUGAGUUUGAAGAUAAAUCAGUCAAUACGCCAUGCAAAGCACAAAGAGAGCCAGGCGUGGUGGCGCACGCCUGCAACCCAGGACUCAGGAGGCUGAGGCAGGAGGAUCACCCCAAGUUCAAGACCAACCUGGGCUACAUAGUGAAUUCAAAGCCAGCCUGAACUACAUAGAGAUCCUGUCUCAAAAUACAAAAAAAAAGGCAGUGGGGGUGAUCCAGGAUGUGGGUCGUGUCUAUGGGGUCACUGUCAAGCCAUGGACGGGUAUGGGAAGCUGAGAUCUCCCCUGAACACUGCUGCCUCCUUGAGGGUGCAAGAAGCACAACCUUCCGCUGCCAGCCACAUAUACUGGCUAUGGUGUCUUCCAGACCUUCAGGAGUUUUUUAAACGAACUUCCUGGGAGAGAAAAGGCUCCAGUAACUUGUGGGUCUUGAAGCUGCAGUUAAGUCUGACUGUAAAACCUGCAUUUCCUUGUCUCCUUUCUGCCCAGGUCCCCUGCUCCCGCCCCGCCUCGCCCUCGAUGGAAUAUGACAGCGAGACAGAUGCAGUCCUGACGUGCACGGCCGCUGGCCACCCUGGGAAGUGUCCAAGAGGCCAGUGCCCGACCGCAUGCCCCACGCUGCACCUGGCCACGCUCACACUCUGCCUGGCAAGCAGCGCCCUGUGUGGCUUCGUUUACAUGAAACACCGAAACAGGCCAAGCCGUAGCAGCGAAGUGGCCUCCAGGCUGCCCGGGGCAGGGCGGGUGGGGAGCCCUGGGAGACAGUGAUUGCUAGCGGCUGUGUUCUAGGGGCUGGUAUUUGUGUGUUGUGUGUGCUGUAUGUUGUUUUCAUUUUGUUGUGUGUGUGUGUCCAUGCAUGUGCACUGGCAUUUUUUGUGUGGUUUUGUUUUUUUAUGGAGUGAUGAAAACGUCCUGAAAUUAUUAUAGGUACAGUUGCGUCCAUCUGAGUAUACUAAAAUCAUCAAAUUGUGCAGCUUAAAUAGUGAAUUGUCGCUGGGCAUGGUGGUACAUGACUGUCAUCCCAGCACUUGGGAGGCUGAGGCAGGAAGAUCGCCAGGAGUUUGAGGUCAGUCUGGACUGCAUAGUGAGUUCCAGGGCAACCUGGACAGCAAGACCCUGUCUCAAAGCGAACAAAAAUGGGUGAUUUGUAUGGUAUAUGAGCUGUGGCUUAACAAAAUUGUUCUUUGUUUUUUUAAGUCAAGGGGAAAAAAUCCAGUCAAAAGGAAUAAAAGAGUCCAGGACAAAAAGAGAAGGGGUGAUCGGCUCUGCAGGGCAGGGAUCCCAGGGGUGUGCUGGCCUUGGAGGACGCCUGAGGGUGGAGGGGGUUGGGAGAUCGGACCGGUGUGCAGGUGACACAUGGGCCCUGCAGCUGUCCCACACUCCUGCCACCCCAUCUCUCACCUCUGCCACCUCGGCCCUGCCCUCCCCAGGUGCAGCUUGGUGUCCAGGCCUGGCUCAGCCACUCCCCUUGGGGGGCUGGCGAUGUGACUGCACGAAGGAAUUCACUGUGGGUCCCUGGGGAGGGGUCGUACCGCCCCACGCACGCCUGCCACCUGCCAGCGUGAUUUGCUCCAGCGGGAAAUGAACGCAGAGGCCCGGAGGGAGCCGGCCCGCAGCGUCCGGGUUCAUUUCCCCCUGGUACGGGAGCAGAGCUGCCCCAGGUACAGGCCAGGCCCACAUCCCUGCGGCCGGGACCCACGGGGCUGAGGAGAGAUGGAUCUGGGACUUUAAGCCCGGGGGACUCGGGGGUAAGAGCGUCCCAUGACGUGACUUCACAUAACUCACGUCAGCCUCGUUCCCAGGGCCGCAUGCAGCCCAAAUGUGCCAACCGGGGGACCCGAGCGGCCGCCUCUGCAGCCUCCCCGGCCGGGCUGGGCGCAGGCUGCGCCUGCUGAGCCCGCAGCGGGACUCGGUUUACUCCCGGGCGCGUCCAACCCGCCCUGCACCGGGCCUCGUCCCCAGCGCCUGCACCCGACCGCUCGUCCCGGUCUCCCACGCUCCCCCGCUCCUCCUCCCCGCGUGUGUGCGGGUGGUGCUGGUGGUUGGGAUUGUUACACGUUCUCACCGUUGUCCAGGCCGACUUCAGUCAAACCCUGUGUAGCUUGAAUUGCCGGCCUUGAACUCUCCAUCUUCCUGCCUCAGCCUUCACUAAAUCCCAAGCCCGCCCGCCCUCCCUCCCUCCCUUUCUCUUUCUUUCUUUCUUUCUUUGAGACAGAGACAAGAUCCCACUCAUUUACCAGAUUGCCUAGGAUGGGCUUGAACUUUGGAUCCCCGCACCCCGCCUCAGCCUCACAGAGUGCUGAGAUGACAGCUGCGCACCGCCCGCCCGGCUCUUCCCGUUCUCCCAUCCAGCACAAGCAGGGCCUCCGCCGUCACAGGGCUGCGCUGGUGUAUUUCACAGCCAGGUUCUGCUGCCCUGUGACUCUGGGUCUCACGUCACUCGGCUGUGCUCUCCGCAGCCGCGCAGUCCUGAGCCCUGUCCGUCUGCCUCAGCUGCCACCCGCCCCGCUGGACACGCGUCCACUCCAGCUCCUCCCUGUACUCACCCACCGCCUUGCGAACCUGGGCGGAGCCCCUCCUCCGGGCUUCUGACCGAACGAUCGUUCCCUACAGACCGUUUGCCAGGGAGGUGCCGCAUCCCCCUGCCAGCCUUUCUCUGCUGUAUUUUCAAAGGUUACUUAAAUCGCAUCACUAAAACAUUGACUCUUAAGCCAGGAGAGGUGGUAUAUACACGUCAUCCCAGCACUUGGGAGGCUGAGGCAGGAGGAUCACCAUGAGUUUGAGGCCAGCUUGGAUGACAGAGUGAGUUCCUGUCUCUAAAUGAAUAAAUAAAUAAAUAAAUAAUGGCUUUUUCCUUUUGUCGUUAAAUAGGCCCAUCACAGAAGCAUAUUCCUCAACGCAAACUGAAUCGGUUAAUUAAAGGUAGAUGUAGCGGCCUUGUUUGUGUUACUUAUCCUGUUUGCAUUCAACUGCCUUUGACCUGGGAAAAUGGCCACUUCCGUGGCUCCUCCGCCUGGCUCUACUGCACGGGGAAACUCACCGGCUCGCUUCAGGGCCUUCAGAGGUGAGUGCUCUGCGUUUUCCAGAGAAGAAAACAGGCCUUGAGUCUUGAGGACUGCACUCACGUCACACAGCAGCGAGGGCGAGGUCACCCUGCCCGUGGCAUCCGCACGGCGCCCCGUCCUGGCAUCACCCUGCCCUGGGAGUGUGCGGUGAGCAGAGCUUGCCCGGGGCACGCCGCAGCCCCCGCAGGGCCGUAGAGCCGUUGAAGGGCCAAGCUGGCACCAGGCCACUCACACGGGGCGCUGAAUGGCGCUCUCACGAGGACGGCCUUGCGCGGUUGUCUCAGCUCAUGAAGCGGGGAGCCCCAGCCGGCCGGCUUCCGGCUCGAAGCAGGGUUACAGCGCUGGUCUCACCUCCCCAGCAAGCCGGGAUGCCUGGGGCCCCUCCUCAGCCAGGCCCUGGGGGCAGGGGAGGGACAGGCACCCCAUGCCCCUCCCUGGAGAGAUGGGGUGGCGCCCCGCCUGAGUCACCUCUCAGGAGAGGGGCGUUGAGCCUGUCCCCCGAAGGGACUGCAGCUGGGAUGCCGCCCAGGACAAAGCACGCGCUUAGCAGACUCAAAGGCUUGGGUUCAAUGUCCCCCCAGCAGUGAAAGUUAAAAAAAAGUUAGAUUUUUAAUUAAAAUUAAAU